rfam:Schistosoma margrebowiei strain Zambia genome assembly, scaffold: SMRZ_scaffold0000089
ACACUGCUGAGGAGUCUCAUGCUAGGAUGAAACGGCCGUCCAGUGU